UGGAGGAAGAUGACGACAAAAACAUAUUGGAGACUAGAUCUAGCAAUUUUUUAUGUUUUUUUAACAUGGGUUUUUUUAUAGGGGUUUAAGGAAUUAAUUUAAAAUUGUUUUAAAAGGACUAAAAGAAUAAAUUUUUUUUUUUUGUAAGUCCAAUAAGUAAUCCGUUAAAAGUUUAAUGAUUAAGUGGCCAUUUUAGUCAAAUCUUUUAAUUGGUUUAAUACUAUACCCAUAUACCUGUCCAUGGAUCGGGCCACUCAACUAGGCCCG
rnacentral:lncRNA from 1 species